rnacentral:rRNA from 1 species
UACAGAGGUCUCAAGCGUUGUUCGGAAUUAUUGGGCGUAAAGGGCGCGUAGGCGGCCGAUCAAGUCUGACGUGAAAUCCCUCGGCCUAACCGAGGAACUGCGUUUGAAACUGUUCGGCUCGAGUCCGGGAGAGGGUAGUGGAAUUCCCAGUGUAGCGGUGAAAUGCGUAGAUAUUGGGAGGAACACCGGUGGCGAAGGCGGCUACCUGGACCGGUACUGACACUGAGGCACGAAAGCUAGGGGAGCAAACAGG